CAGGUGUAGCAAUACAUGCUGACGAGCGGCGGACGGGUGAGUAACGCUUGAGAAUCUGCCUGUUAGUGGGGGACAACCCGGGGAAACUCGGGCUAAUACCGCAUACGCACUACGGUGGAAAGCCGGGGACCGCAAGGCCUGGCGCUAACAGAUGAGCCCAAGUCGGAUUAGCUAGUUGGUAGGGUAACGGCCUACCAAGGCGACGAUCCGUAACUGGUCUGAGAGGACGACCAGUCACACCGGAACUGAGACACGGUCCGGACUCCUACGGGAGGCAGCAGUGGGGAAUAUUGGACAAUGGGGGAAACCCUGAUCCAGCGACGCCGCGUGGGUGAAGAAGGCCUGCGGG
rnacentral:rRNA from 1 species